CUCCACUUGGGGAAGGUGAGUCUGCCCCGCCCGUGGCGGAGAGGCGAUGCCCAGGCUGCUGAAUCCGGUCCCUGGCGUGGUUCCAGCUCUGCUCUAGGAGACCCGGCGCUCUGAGACCUCAUAGACAGCCCGAAAUGGGGAUGCCACCCUUGCUCUUCUGUUGGGUGUCUUUCGUGCUUCCACUUUUUGUGGCAGCAGGUAACUGUACUGAUGUCUAUAUGCACCAUGAGAUGAUUUCAGAGGGCCAGCCUUUCCCCUUCAACUGCACAUACCCUCCAGUAACAAACGGGGCAGUGAAUCUGACAUGGCAUAGAACACCCAGUAAGAGCCCAAUCUCCAUCAACAGACACGUUAGAAUUCACCAGGACCAGUCCUGGAUUUUGUUUCUUCCGUUGGCAUUGGAGGACUCAGGCAUCUAUCAAUGUGUUAUAAAGGAUGCCCACAGCUGUUACCGAAUAGCUAUAAACCUAACCGUUUUUAGAAAACACUGGUGCGACUC
rnacentral:lncRNA from 1 species